CAUCUGUGGUGAGCUUUUUCUCUUCACUGAAGUCUGUGAGGCUCAUCAUUACAUUCUCCCCUCUAGGAUGGAGAGAGUCAUGCAUGUGACUGUGGUAACUGCUGUCCUGCUGGCGGUGGGCAUCCUGAACGCCGUCUCAGCCCAGUCUCACAGAAUACUGUAACAGCACAGGCAGUGAACUGGUGGCAUUCCAAGAUAAAGAUGAGAUGAUAGAAGCCGUUUGUAUCAGCUAUCAUGACAACCAUAAACUUGCAUCUUUUUGGAUUGGAGUCAAAAGAUCCGGGGAGGGGUUCAUAAACACUGAUGGAUCAGAGGUUGAGCAUGCUGAAUGGUACCCUGAUCAGUCACGCAAUGCUGGUGAACAAAAGAACUGCAUUACAAUGAACC